rnacentral:rRNA from 1 species
UACGGAGGGGGCUAGCGUUGUUCGGAAUUACUGGGCGUAAAGCGCACGUAGGCGGCUUUGUAAGUUAGAGGUGAAAGCCCGGGGCUCAACUCCGGAAUUGCCUUUAAGACUGCAUCGCUAGAAUUGUGGAGAGGUAAGUGGAAUUCCGAAGUGUAGAGGUGAAAUUCGUAGAUAUUCGGAAGAACACCAGUGGCGAAGGCGACUUACUGGACACAU